UACGGAGGGUGCAAGCGUUAAUCGGAAUUACUGGGCGUAAAGCGCGCGUAGGCGGCUUGGUAAGUCGGAUGUGAAAGCCCUGGGCUCAACCUGGGAACUGCAUUCGAUACUGUCAAGCUAGAGUGUGGGAGAGGGAAGUGGAAUUUCCGGUGUAGCGGUGAAAUGCGUAGAUAUCGGAAGGAACAUCAGUGGCGAAGGCGGCUCACUGGACCGGAACUGACGCUGAGGCGCGAAAGCGUGGGGAGCAAACAGG
rnacentral:rRNA from 1 species